rnacentral:rRNA from 1 species
UGCGUAACACGUAUCCAAUCUACCCAUUGCUCGGGGAAUAGCCUUUCGAAAGAAAGAUUAAUGCCCGAUGGUCUCAAGUACAGGGCAUCCUGUUUUGAGUAAAGAUUCAUCGGCGAUGGAUGGGGAUGCGUCCGAUUAGCUGGUUGGCGGGGCAACGGCCACCAAGGCGACGAUCGGUAGGGGUUCUGAGAGGAAGGUCCCCCACACUGGAACUGAGACACGGUCCAGACUCCUACGGGAGGCAGCAGUGAGGAAUAUUGGUCAAUGGUCGGAGAGACUGAACCAGCCAAGUAGCGUGAGGGAUGGCGGCCCUAUGGGUUGUAAACCUCUUUUGUUUGGGAAUAAAGUGCGGGACGUGUCCCGCUUUGUAUGUACCAUACGAAUAAGCAUCGGCUAAUUCCGUGCCAGCAGCUGC